rnacentral:rRNA from 1 species
UGGGGAAUUUUGGACAAUGGGCGCAAGCCUGAUCCAGCCAUGCCGCGUGGGUGAAGAAGGCCUUCGGGUUGUAAAGCCCUUUCGGCUGGGACGAAAAGAUUCGGGUUAAUAACCCGGAUCCAUGACGGUACCAGCAGAAGAAGCACCGGCUAACUACGUGCCAGCAGCCGCGGUAAUACGUAGGGUGCAGGCGUUAAUCGGAAUUACUGGGCGUAAAGCGUGCGCAGGCGGUCUUUUAAGUCAGAUGUGAAAUCCCCGGGCUUAACCUGGGAACUGCGUUUGAAACUGGAAGGCUAGAGUGUGGCGGAGGGGGGUGGAAUUCCACGUGUAGCAGUGAAAUGCGUAGAGAUGUGGAGGAACACCGAUGGCGAAGGCAGCCCCCUGGGCUAACACUGACGCUCAUGCACGAAAGCGUGGGGAGCAAACAGGAUUAGAUACCCUGGUAGUCCACGCCCUAAACUAUGUCAACUGGUUGUCGGGGAAGCAAUUCCUUGGUAACGAAGCUAACGCGUGAAGUUGACCGCCUGGGGAGUACGGCCGCAAGGUUAAAACUCAAAGGAAUUGACGGGGACCCGCACAAGCGGUGGAUUAUGUGGAUUAAUUCGAUGCAACGCGAAAAACCUUACCUACCCUUGACAUGCUAGGAACCUCGCAGAGAUGUGAGGGUGCCCGAAAGGGAACCUGGACACAGGUGCUGCAUGGCUGUCGUCAGCUCGUGUCGUGAGAUGUUGGGUUAAGUCCCGCAACGAGCGCAACCCUUGCCAUUAGUUGCCACAUUAAGUUGGGCACUCUAAUGGGACUGCCGGUGACAAACCGGAGGAAGGUGGGGAUGACGUCAAGUCCUCAUGGCCCUUAUGGGUAGGGCUUCACACGUAAUACAAUGGCCGGUACAGAGGGCAGCCAACCCGCGAGGGGGAGCUAAUCCCAGAAAGCCGGUCGUAGUCCGGAUUGCAGUCUGCAACUCGACUGCAUGAAGCCGGAAUCGCUAGUAAUCGCGGAUCAGCAUGUCGCGGUGAAUACGUUCCCGGGCCUUGUACACACCG